GCCGAGCAUUCCUUGCCCCAGCAGUACAUUCACGCGUUCAAAGACGGACAAUUUACGACAUCUCCAGUGUCUCAUUCUAGGGCUUGAUUGUCUGCACGGCUGCCAUUUCUUAUUUCCUUUUGUUUACAUCAGCUAGCUUAUUACCUGCCAUCUGGACUUAUAUUUUGUAGUUAGCAAGGUAACUAGAUAUUAGAACGGGUCAAAAUUUUCACCAUUUCUUAUUUCCUUUUGUUUACAUCAGCUAGCUUAUUACCUGCCAUCUGAAAUUUUAAUUAAGUAAACUGAAACUUUGGUUCCACUUUUGCUUUUCCAAGGCUCUCAACUUCAUAUUUCACCAUCCAGCACUUACACAAACCAUUCUGGGAGAACAUGGCGAAAUUGAACUGAAAGGAGACCAUAGUUUCUUUCUGUAUAAAAAAUAUAUAUACGCUGCUCUUGACCAUUCUCUCAUUUUUGCUAAAACUUUUACAGGUUGAGCAUUCCUUGCCCCAGCAGUACAUUCACGCGUUCAAAGACGGACAAUUUACGACAUCUCCAGUGUCUCAUUCUGGGGCUUGAUUGUCUGCACGGCUGCCAUUUCUUAUUUCCUUUUGUUUACAUCAGCUAGCUUAUUACCUGCCAUCUGGACUUAUAUUUUGUAGUUAGCAAGGUAAGGGACCAGAUUGUACAUUUGAUUGAUUCCUCUCCAGAACACAGAUGUAUUAUUGUCAACUGUCAUAGUGAUCAGAAAGAAGGGCUUAUCAUCCUUCUGUAAUCAGUAGAAUGUGAUA
rnacentral:lncRNA from 1 species